rnacentral:rRNA from 1 species
AGAAUCAACGCUGGCGGCGUGCCUAACACAUGCAAGUCGAACGAGAAAGUGGAGCAAUCCAUGAGUAAGGUGGCGACCGGGUGAGUAACACGUGACUAACCUACCUUUCAGUGGGGAAUAACCUCGGGAAACCGGGGCUAAUACCGCAUAAUGUCUACGGACCAAAGGAGCAAUUCGCUGGAAGAGGGGGUCGCGGCCGAUUAGCUAGUUGGCGGGGUAACGCCCACCAAGGCAAUGAUCGGUAG